GAGAAGGAUUCCAGGAAAAUAUUUACUUUACUUUAAAGUUUAAUCUAUUUUAUUCUCUGAAAUGCUGUUCUUCCCAUCGUUUUCUAGCCAGCUCCACCUGUGCCUUAAAUUUCUAAGCUUGUGAAAAAUUUUGCUAACUUCCUUUGGGACCUGCUGUGUAAAGACUGACUCCAAACAUCAGUGAAGUCAGGGAGGGACUUUCAUGCUCCAGCAGCAGAUCAGGGUCCCUGUAAAAGAGCAUUUUGAAACUAAAUAUUAUGAAAGCAACUUCUGGAUUGAAAAAGGGUGAUGGGGUGUCAGUAAAAAGAAGAGCUUGUUUAUAUCAAAUCUGCUUUGAAGAUCAAGCUUGACAUGUUUUUUCACUUCCAGCAAGAAAUAUCUAUUCCUUGGUCAGAGGAAAUGGUAAGUCCAGAGGAGUUUCCUAGUUUAGGGGAACUGCAUCCACCUUGCAUCACCAUAUAGCUGGACAUUUGAAGUGGCAGGGAAGGAUUCAUUAGUUUCCUAUGUAUUUUUGGUGUUUGUCUGAGUAAAAUUAAGGAUGAAAGAAGGCUGAGAGGCUGUCAGGGAAUUAGUCAUCACACUAUUCUCCAGGGUCCCAGGAAGAUAUUUUUUAAAGGCUUUCUAAUUAAAGAUGGAAGAAGAAAGAAAGGAAAAAAAAAACCCAGAAGGUUAAUAAGAUAAACGUUUCAUAACCUAUUAUUCCUUUAUAUGACAAAGGCUGGGCAGGAGAUACAUAUUGUGAUCAAAAAACAAAAGAGACAAAUAGCAGGUGUAUAUGUUUAUGUGGAAUUUAUGCAAUUUUCCAUAGAUAGGUCUUAUCAUUUUCCUAACAACUUUACCACAAGAGACAUCAGAACUGUAAAUGGAGGCAAAUAGCAUACCUUAAUAUAAGAGCAAAAUUCUGCUAACACUUUUCCAUAGUAAUGAGUAAAACUAUAUAUUUAUUUGCCACAGAAAACCUGAGAUUCCAAAUUAUCUUUUUAUCCCAAAUGAGCAUCUGCAUAAUAUUAUAAAGAAAAUACACAGGGUUUUUGGCCUUUUUUUGUUUGCUUUUGCAGAGUUGCAAACACAUUCACCUUUACUCUUUUGUCCUGUAAUAGAACACACCUGAACACUCUUAUUAAAAUAACACAUUUUGGCCUGUGUAGAAGAACAAUUUCCUUUUGAAAAUAUUGACCAACAUUUCACAUUCCUGCAAUUUCUUUUUCAAUUAAAACUGCCUCAGAAAUUCUUAUUAUUGCCCAGAGUUGCAUUUAUUUCCUAUAGGCCUUUCCCCUUUAAGCACUCAGGCCACUUCAGAAACGCUAGUUCAUGAAACCUUGCAGCUAAUCUAGGUAACCCAAAUCUGGAUUUCCAUUUUAUAGUGCCUUAGAGGAUUGGUUCAAAGGCAAUUAAGUGAGUGAGAAUCUUUCCAUGAAUUGAGCUCACGCAGACACUCUUAGAGGUUAAGGCCAUGGUUUUCUGUUCCUUGAAACUGGAGGAACAUUCCCACUGCCUUCAGCUUGUGUUGGAGCAAGUACUAAAUAUUUUACCCGAGUCGCACAGUGAGUCAGUUAGUGGAACACAUUUCUGGGGUGAUGCUACAGAAUCACCUCUUCCUGAAUUCAUGUAAUUUAAAACCAAAAGACAUAUCAAAUCAUCCAGUUUAACCUGCUGUAUAGCACAAGUCUUAAAAUCUUUUGUAAGAUUUAGUUUAGAUUUGUAAGAUUUAGAUCCUUCUCCUUGCAAGCAGGUGAAUAGGGCAGAUAGAGAGAGAGAGUGCUUAUUUAGGUCUAGUCAACCCUUAAGAGCAGGUUAAACAGUUCAAGAAAAAAAAAAAUGAAUAAGGACUUCAGAAGUUAGCAAACAGACAGAACUAGCUGGUACAAGUGCUGAUGUAGGUAUCUCUGGAGGAUGAGGGCAAGAAUAUAUCUGUGUUAGAGGAAGAGACAGUUCUCAGCCUUCAGAGACCACCUAGCUACCAUCAGCAAAACCAGAAGACUAAAUCAAAUUUGUAAAAGUGCUAAUGCUUCAGAAACCAAAUCUGUGGGUAAUCUAAGAAAUCUUCUGGGGAAAUUCAUGCUGAGACACUGUGGUAAUGGUUUGGAAGGUAAUGCACUAACUGUAAUCCUGAGGAAGCUGUGUGUUGAGGACGAAGGAUGCUAUGUCUGGGAUAAAUGCCCUAGCUGGAUUACCAAAUGGCAUCACUAUCUAUUAUUUGGUGGGGAAAAAUAUAAGCAGUUAAUUAAUGCUUUGGGGAGUUAGGAAAAACAAACAAAGAAAUAACAGAUUUCUCCCAGGCCCCCAAGGAUAAGUAAAUGCAGGAGGUGGAAGAUCAUUUAUUAUUUUAUGUUGUUUUAUUUCAGCCAGAACUUAGUCAGAAGGUUGCAAAGCAGAACUCAGCUUUAAUCAGUGGCAAUAUGGGGCUUGCUUCAUUUCUGAGUAGCAUAAAAUUACAUCAGAUUUAUAAUGAUAUAAAUGCAGAGCGCUCAAGGUGAUCUCGUCCGUAAUAGUUACUAGCGAAUUUGGCCCACAUACAACAUUAGUUAACUGUACUAUGAAGAGACUAUUAGGUGAAGGGUAAGUGGGAAAUUCUUUGCUAGCAUAAUCACCCUGAACUAGGAAGGAAUUUAUUAUGGUGCAAUUUGUUUAUUCUGAAUAGCUUGUUCUGCAGUGCAAACUAGUGGGAUGAUCUUUUGGUUGGGUGGAGAAAAUUAAGACACCUAAUAUGCAGAAGGGCUUUAUUUAUAUAUAAAGAUAAAAUAUAAAUAUAUGCUCUCCAGAGAGGCAUUUUUGAACACUUCAGUGGAUUUAAGCUGUAUACAGGGAAGCUACGGAAAGACGAGCUGGGCUAUGUGCUGAUUCUGGCUAAUAGUAGGAAAGCCCCUGGAACAACACAGAUGGGAAAAAGGAGAGCUGCCCUCUGACUGAGAAGACAGUUUUGAGCUGUUGAAGUCUUUGGAGAAAAUCCUACUGAUUUCUAGUGACCUUUGACUUGGGUACUGAGCAAUUGCUUACAGGCCCCUGUGUAGCAGUGGGGUAGAGUGGGAAGGAAGGCAGGUGCAGUUUUGAGCAGAAAUGUCACUGUGUCCUGAAAGCCCUGAUAUAAGUCCUUCGGAAAGCAGUCAUCUUUACUGUUUCACCUGAAUGUCAAUAACUCCAGCCUGUACAUGGUGAACAUUAGCUGUGAAAAACAGCUGUUCAAUAUUUUUUUUACUAUCCUGAUUAUUUUUAGUUCAAUGCUUCUUUAAAUCUGAACUGCUCCUUUAUCACUGUACCUCUGAGAAAUCUGCCUGCUGGCAGUACUCUCUUGAAAUUUGUUUUUUGCCCAUAAGAUACAGAUGUUUGCUAGCAACACUUUUUUCCCUUUUUCGCAGCCUUUACUGCUAAGAAUAUAAUAGCAAACUUGAUCCAGGCUUCAUGCUGUUCAAAAAGUCAGGGGGUUAUCCAGCACUGUGGCUGGCCAAGGCAGGCAGGAUUUCACUGGCGUGCAUGUCUGUGUGUGUCUGUGUGUACGCAAGUGUAUGUGAAAAUGCACAGAUGACAGAAAAUAGGCAUUUGCAACACAAAGCUGUGUAUGGUGCAGAGGCUAGUGUUUUUGAAGUAGUGUGCAAAGGUGUGUUACUGAUACAGAAGAGUAUUUAAGUUCGUAAGGCAUAUGCCUCUUUCUGUGGAGUGUGGGUGUAUGUGUGUGUGUGUGUGUGCGCAUGGGUGUGCUUGCCACAGAUGUCUUUAUGGUGCUUUUGAGUUGCACGAAGCUGUUAUCUUCACAUAGCUUUUCAUCUCACUUUUUUCUUUCUUUGGUACAGUCAUGCACACAGAAAUCAAGCUUUGCCCUUGGUUUGUCGUUACUAUUGUAGAUUUUGGUUUUCUGACUGCAUUCCUGGUGCAGUCUGAUGCGGUGACUGGCUAGUUACAGGGUUUCCUACAGAAAGUCAGUUUUAAGGAAUUUCAUAUUCUUCUGUCAUGUAUGUGUUAGCCAGCAUCCUGACAGGGGUAGUGCUAUCAACUUAAAUGUUUCCAUGCAUACAGUUUUUUUCCUUAUUUGGCUUUUGCUCCUUCUACUUUGUGCAAAGCUUGAAAUUGCAUUGGGAUUCAGCUUGCAGAAUAAGACAUUUACUUACACUUAUGUGUCAACAUGUGAGCUCAGGGUGAAAUCUGGUUGCCUAAAUAUCAGCAUCUGAUGCCAUUUUAGACAUUUUUGGAUACAAUACCUCGUCUCCAGCGACUGUUCCAGAAGAUGACUGGUCACCCAUAAGUUCUCUGUCAGGUCUGCCAAACUUAAGUGUUUGCCUCGGGUAUUGAAAAUGACACUAGACCCUUAUUUUAAGGAAGUGAACUGAAUCCCUAAAUUAGGUGUCUCAGUCAACAAGCUGAAUCCCAUCCUUGUCACCCAGUCGGGAUAGAUUUUUAACCUCACAUUCAUGUCUUAAACUUGUCAUCUAGCUAAGGACCUUGUCUAACCUUAGAAAGUCAUCUAUUUAAAUUUAUCCCUUAAACUACCUGUUUCCCUGGCUUUUCUUUUUCUUUUUUUAGUGAGUAUAGGUGCUCUCUCUGUUACCUUCUCACUAGAAAUGCACUUUCUGGUCCCAGCAGUGUCUUCAUAGUUACACCCUCCAAAUACUGCAGGCGUGUAUUUUGACUCCUGGUUAUCAGGCAUACUGAUACUGCUAGUGAGAAGGUAACAGCACGAGAGAGCACCUGCACUUACUAAAUAUGUGUAUGAUAGAGCCUUCUAGCUGUGAAAGUCAAUUGUUUUUUGAUUAUACAUAAUGUUGUUGAACCUGCAAAGUUAAUGAUGCUAAUGUUUUUGCAUAUGCAGUGUCAGACUCUUUGGACGUGCUGUGCACCCCAAGGCUCAUGGGAGCAAAUGACACACUCGUACAAUCCCUGCCCACUGAUCGUACCUGAACCAAUUAGAUUAGUAUGGAAUGGGAGCUUUAAAUUUAAACUCUGAAUGUUACUAGAAGUGGGUCUGAUCCAAAUUCCUAAGGCUGAGCAAUUCUGUUUAGUUCUGGUUCUGGAUCCCUUUCCCUAGCAUCUGUGACAAAAUUUUCAUUUAUGUUUGGAAGCAAGGGCAAUCCUGUUAUUUCUUUGCAUUUUGGCAGCCUGCAAGCUAGCCAUUCAUAGACUAGCCUUUCUCUAGAGAUUUUUUUCUGGUACUAGGCUCUAAGAAAGGACCCAAUAGACAUAUGAUAACAGAAGGUCUAGUCUUAUGCACUAACAUCAAUAGAUUUUUGGUGCAAGAUGGCAAAUGUCAAUAGAUCAGAGGACAUCAUAGCUAUUUGGGUCCCAAGUGCACAAAGCCUCAAAAAUAUUCAGUCAAUCACCAGUCUUCUAACAAUAUUUUAGCAUUAUAUGAGAGCUCUGUCAAAACCAGUACAAAUUUAAAACUAAUUAAUUUUCUACCAGGAUAGCAACCCCCUCCUGUUGGUUAGGUCAGAUUAAUACAUUGAUAGACUGGGCCAGGAACAUAAUCCUUACUCAGAAAACCCACUUUGAAUAUGGUUCUAGAUCUGGAAACCACUUCCUUGGUGUAUCUACAUAGCUCUUCUGUGAAUAUUGCCCAUUCUCUGUGCUGAGAAAUAGCCUCUUUCUAUAGGAGCUCCCUCCACUCCCCAAGUUGGCCGUUAUUGGGGUGCAACAGCCGCACCCACAUAGCUGGGGCUACCCAUGGUUGCUCUGAAAUUGCAGCAUGCCUGAACUCAGGGACAGCUGGCUCACUUCCGGAUGGGCUGCCUUCGAAACACAGCCAUCCACAUCUACCAAGGCCUGUCCUACUGCUGGACAUACUGGGUCUGAUGGCAGCAGGAACCUGCUUUGUAGAUCGUACUUGACAUUUUCUGAGAGCUGCUGCAGCUCUUCUUUGAAGAGCAUUUCCACAGUCUUUCUCAUGGAGCUGCACAAUUAAUGAGAAAGAUUCACAAAGCUCUAAAAAAAUUGAUAAUACCAGCAUUAUUCCCAUCAUAAGAGUGGUUUCCUCACAGGAAGAAAGGCAAGAAGCAUAGCAUUGCUUCUGUUGACUCAGCAAACCCAGGUUCUCCAGCUGUGAAGGAAGAAAUCUUUUUCCAUGGACUUAGGGAUCUGAGUGCUUUUCAUUCAGUGAGACGUGGAAAGCCUCCCUCAGAGGGGAAUUGCAUAUGGCAUAUAUUACACUGUUGAGCUCUAGGAGUGACUGAUUCUGUCCUGGUGUCUCACAGUAGUUUCUCAAACUGAUACGCUGGGUUCAGAUGCCAGGACUGUCUUCUGCCCUCAGAGGGAGAUGAAGCCCUUUGGUAGGCUUUCUCAGUUCUGGCUAUGGAGCUCCUUUAAUUUAAUGAAGCUGAAAAACCUUUUGGUCAGAUUGUAAGGGUCCUUGCGGUCUGCUCUGAAAAAGAAUAAAAAGUCUCUUUCCCUCUGCAAUAGCCACCUUACUGUAAUAUUUGCUGGGCAUUUAAAAGUGGUGAUGGGAAAGACAGAGCCACAACUUUUCUCUAUUGCUUUUUAUAUGGUCUCCUCACAGUGGGCAGCAGGUAUCUCUCCAUGCUCAUGUUAGUCUGCAGCCUCCAAGGAGGACAGGGCUAACAAGUGGGGGGAGAUCUCUGCUUAACCAUAUGGGCCAGAGGGUGCCUCUCCUGCCUGGGCACCAGCAGUAGUGGUAGGAAGCACAGCCAGUGCCUGGGUGAAGCAGCUCCUCUCUGCUUCAUAAGCAGAAGGCUGUACCUUUUGUGCACAGCCUCAUCCUUCAUUACACUUGGCAUACAUAGAUAAUUAUGUGAUGUAUAUUGAAGGCCUUAGUCAUGGGACUUAUUUAGUAUUUUGCCUAAAGCUGAGACGUAUCACAUCCACAGAGGUGGGCACGUGUGUGUCUAGGUUCAGAUGCAUCCUGAGGCAGAAACGUCCCAUGGUCCUGCCUCUGCUCAUUGUGGCUAUUCACCAUGGCUUGUUAUGACUGAGAGAAAUCAAUAGAGAGAAUGUUCCUGACUUUCUCACUUCUCUAGCAAAUCCAGGAAAGAUACGACCUUAAUGAAUAGAAGGUCCUAAGCAAGACUUAGAGUGGAAUCCAAAAUUACUCAUUAAAAAAUAGCAAAUUCCCCAGCUGUCAAUAAGAAAAAUUUUUCUGUCCCUCCACCUCCAGCAGUUGUCUUAUCAGGGAACUGUAAUAUUUUAGGCAUCAGUACCUAGCACCAUUGCCCAGCACUGAUGUCCACAUGGGAGUGAAGUCCGUUGUACAGUGCACUUGUUUUCUUGUUGCUUGUCUUCUUACCCUAAGCCUAAUGUUCUGCUCAAUUGCUCAAUUCUUCAUUCAGGAAAAAUGUCUCACUUUUUAACCAUAUAAGCUUGCUAGCAGCCUGUUAGCUUAGGUUAUUAAAGCUGAACUAUUUAAAGCUGAAUCCUUCAUUUGUUACGCAGAAGCUUGUUGCCCAUCAUACAUUGAUCACCCUUUUUAAAUGCAUAUUGUCUCCAUCAGAUCCUGUUUGUUCCCUGCUCUGUCCUGUUUAUUACAUUUUAUUUUACAGUGAAGCAUGAAACACACAGAAUAUCCUCUUUCCUUCCACAUUAAAGAUGUCCUUUUUUUUCACAAAGCUGUAACUUAGCUAUUGCAGCGACCCAGCAGCCACCUCAUAGUUAGACAUGUUCUACUUAUUAUGUGAAGAGUAAAGCAGAGAUCUCUGCCAGACCUGUCGGGUCCUCAUUUCCUAUUGCCCAACACCUUGCACAGUGAGAAUGAAAUCAGGAUUGGUCUUAUGGCCAAAUAACUGCCCCUUUGUGCCUCCUAAUGAGGCAAAGGCACUGUAAGCCAUCACAUGGUGUGAUAUUUCUUGCCACAGUAACACUUAUUGUGUGUGGGCUGCUCGCGGUAGACACUAAAUCAUACUGUUGGUGCCCGAUUGGUGAUUCUGCUUUGUGACAGGGCUCGGCCCUGUCACUAGUGAUGCCACUCUAGUGAUGCCUUGCUAGGAAGGAGGGUGAGGAAGGGUCUGGGGAGCAGGUCUGAGGAAAAGAAAUUUGAGGUGGUGGGGGGGGACGCCAAACCCUGUAGUUUAGUCAUGCUGCUGUGAAUUCUGGCACCCCCAACAGCUAAUGCUCCUCUCAGGCUGCUUUUUGGGAUGGUAUAUGGUACAAAAAACAUGAAAACAAGAAAAGAUGAAAAUGAACUGGGGACUGUUUGUCUGAAAAAGGGGAUGACUGAAGAGUGUGAGGGAGCUGGAGUGACAAGAUAGCUGGUAAACACAGAAGAAAAGCUGCUGCACGAAAGGAAGGGAGCGAGUUGUUUUCCCCUUUGGGAGUAGGACAAGAUAUAACGGGCUUAAACUGAGGCAAAGGCUAUUUAGCUCAGGCUUUGAGAAAGAAAUAAACAAACAAUGGUCUUAGGCUAAGAAGAGUUAAAUACAGACAUCACCAGCAUGGAAGGCUGGAGGAACAACAUGACCUUGUAUAGUUGCUUUUUAUGAUUUCUUGCUAGGAUAACAGGUAUAGAAAAAUAGGCACUGACUGCAGCAGACUAGUACUCACGCUGGGGGAAAAGCAAACAAUACCAUGGCUAGCUGUAGAAGGGCUCGUGUGCAUUUCUUUCACAGCAGUGGUCUCUUAAUGGUAUUUGCCUGCAUGCAUUUGCCAAUAUGCCUCUGGUUAAAGCAACAAGGCUUCCACAUAAAACACUUGCUAUUCAUGUGAAUGCUAUUCAGCUGAUGCUGAGGAAGAAGGCUACUUGGUGAUAACUUUAUCUGCUGACCACCAUGACCUCUUGGCUCCUCUUCCAGACAUGACUAUGCAUAAACUGCACUUGAUGGUAUGUUGCCAGCCCAUCAACUAACUAUAUGUAUUUCUAUCACACUAGUGUAACUAUUUAAUGCAGCACUGAUUAUUGUCUUCAACUCAUCACUUGAGUGUUCAGGAAUAAAGAAGGGAAGCAUAAUAAAUUCACAAAAGGAGGGGAGGAGAAGGAGCUAAAGGAGCUAUCAAAGGAGUUAAAGAGAAAAAAUACAGUCAAAAAAAAAAAAACCCAAACAAAAAACAGAAAAGAAGUCAUGGUAACUUUUCCAGACUUUAAACAUGUAAACCUAAUUUCCAAGGGCUGGAUUAUAACUAAAAUUGUAGUAGGUACUGCCCUUACAGGCUUUCCUGAGGUUACCACAUCCACUAUGCUAGCCAUGAAUAAAGAAGGUGAGAAAAUUUGUUUGGGCAUUGCUCUUCCUUACCAAGAAAAAUAGCUUGGCUAUCAAUGUUAAGAGUCUGCUAAGUCAGCUGAGCGUAAGUGAUACCUGACACUCCUUCCACCCCCACCAGGAGCAAGGGGACACGAGGAGCAGCUAUUGGUAGGCAGGCUUUGCCAACUCAUUUUGCAUGGCUAAGUGUGGAUUGGGAUGUACUGCACAUGUAUCCUGCCCGACAGCACAGCUCCACACACGAUCGCAAACAGUUGUUAAUAAAACCAGAGAAGACACCCUCUUUUCUGGAUGCCAGCCGGUCUCAAAAUGGAAGGAAGAAAUUUUCUCUUGUAGAAAAUCCUAAGGUAAUGAGACCCACAGCUCAUCUGCUAAUAUAAAAGGCUUUAGCUGAUUCAAAUAAAGCAUGCAUAAGCAUUGAAAAUUGGGGAUGGGGAUGCAGCCAAAUCCCAGCAUGUGGACCUCUUGAAAAAAAAAUGCUCUGCACGCUACUUAAUUAGAAUUCACUAUUUUCUAAGUCAGUGUUUACUGGUUCUUGGAUGAUAGUGUCAAAAGCUGGGAUUUUCAAAGCAGCCUAAGAGAUUUAUGUCCUUAAUUCCCAUGGCGGGGGGAAAAACACCCAAAGCAAUGAGACUGAAAGCCUAAUGCUAAGGCAGAACCACUGAGAUCGAGCCAGCUCCAACUUACCAUACUAGAGAUGUGUGUGAGGAUGACAGCGUGCGAGUGGGAAUCCCUGCGAACGCCAGAAGUUGCGGUUGUUGUGUGAGAUCGAACAGGCGGACACAGCGAGGCACACCUCUGUGCUUACACACAGGGGAGAGGCUGUGUGUGCAUGUGUGUGUGUGUCUGUGUGCCCGGAAAGCUAUCACUGAGCACCUUUUGCAGUCAGAACUAAAGCACAUCUCCAGACGUGACUUUUAACCCGGAGACAUCUGUGCGCUGUGCACUCUGGAGUAGGUGCUGCAAACCAGCAUUAAUCGCUAAUGUCAGCGAUGUGGGAUGAUGAUCAGAUCACCUGUGACAGUACUUUUAACAAUAGCUCAAAUCAAUAAAUGCAGAUUGUGGACACUUCAGUUUUUAUUAACAUCCAGUGAGAUCUGUUGGCUAAGGGUUAACAUGUAAAACCCUGAAAAUUAGUUUUUCCAUAAUUACCAUUUUUAAUGUCCAUUUAGCUAUAAAAUAAAAUAAAAACACAACAGGAGGCAUUUGUCUUCCACACAAAAUCAUACAAAAGUCUCUUUUUAUUAAAUAUACAUUAUUUACAGUUUAAGUCUUUCUUCUGUACAACAGUAACCAUAGAAAACAAAAGAAGCUAAGGCUAAUUUUUUUCCCAGUCCCCAUACAGUGUAUUAAGACAUGUUACAUUGUCUACAAAACUGACUUGGACUGAGGCAACGUCCUGUGGAAUUCUCUUUAGAAAACCAGAUAGUGAAAGGGGAAUAAUCUAAAUCUCCAUUUUGCUUUUUACUGUAACUGAGAGACUCUUGCAUUACCCUUGGACAGACUAUUACAAGAAAAGAAAAAGUUUUUUUUUUUUGCUUUGCUAUUGAAAUGAAGUGUUCUGAGAGAUUUACAUAAUAUAAUUUGAGUAGAACAAAGUAAAACGAAUGAUGAAGGGUCCUUUUCUAGAAAGGGCCAAUCUUUUUUAAACUAUUAAUCUCAGUUUUCAGCUUGUAUGGCUGCUCUUUUAUUUUUUUCUUCCUAUUAGGGUGCCUUCAAUUUUCAAAAAGGAUACAUUUCACCACAGUCCACCCAGAGUUGGGUUCCAUUAAAAACCCAUAAAAUCCUCUUAAAAUCAGUGGGUGGGCUCCUAGGUUUGUUGGUAACAGACCACCCUUCCCCCUACACACAUUUCCAGAAAGUCCUGAAGGUGACUUAAGCCAUGUCACAGACUUACAUGGGGCUGAAGUUCAUUGCCUUAUCCUGAAUUUUAUCCACAGUUUUGCUAGAAGACACACAUAAUUGCAGUGAAUGCAACUCUUCUUGACAGCAGUAGGGGAUGACGAAUAUAAGGUCCUGACUUGAAUUCAUAUAUGUCAGGCUCAGUUUGCAGAAGAUCAUCACUGGCCUUGCCUAGGGCAGUCUGAGGCUAAAUUCAUCUGUGAUGUAUCUACAUUGACCUCAACAGGAUUACAGCCAGGUCUGAAGCUGGCUCUGCUUGUUUCACAAAGUGGGUUUCAAGGCAGGUCAUGUAUUAGGAUGUCUAGCCUCUUGCUAUCAUGUAAAAACAGACUAUGUUAAAGAUUUCAUUUGCAAAACUCACAGAGCAGAAAUUUUUAUGGCUGGAUGCCUGAAUAAACAUACCUGCUUGCUCUUCUACCCUCUGUCUGAAGGUUCAUGGAGUGGGUUUAGGUGUCUGCAUACUCCUCUGUUCCGUGAGCUGGAUGUGAGGCUGCGACUGGCUGUGUCUAAGCUUUACCUCAGAAGUGGUAAGUUUUUUCUUAAAUGAUAGAUAUGCUCAGCACUGGCAGCAAUGACAGAGCACGUCAGAAAAUGAUUUGCCUAAAUGAUGCAAGAAGAAAGUGUAAAGGGCCUUGGCAUGCAAAAGUGAGUAAAUAAUUUCCCAUGCAGAAGUUGUAUCAGAUGGACUCUCUUUAGGGUUGUGCAACUGAACUCCACAAAAAGGGUUAUGACCAGCACACCAAGAAGCAAAUGGCAUUGGGAUGUGAAUAGCAGUAGAUCUAGAGAAAGGCUGCCACAAGCACCUUAAGUAAGUGAGAGAAUAGUGGGAGGAGCGUCUCUAAGUAAAUGCCAUUCUUUAGACCACCUGUUGUACUCAACAUUUGAUUAAACAGUAAGAUUGUUUUGAGGGACAUCGUCCCAAAUUCUUCUUUGAGGUAAUCAGUUACUUCAGUGGAGAGAUUCUGAUUAGUAUCAGCCAGAUAUUUGAAAUCCUCUUCCGUGUUUGAAGCACACCUCUGAUACUUUGUGGGUCACCUGGAGAAUUAACACUUAGUUUUUGCAGGCUAACUAUUGAUCAGUUUCAUGGCAAAACAGAAUAGUGGAAAAAGAUUUGAAACCCUUGCAUCCAUGUGAAGGUUAGAGUUUCCAACAGCUGAACCAUAACCUUACUGAGUGUAUUUCCCUCCUGCACUGCACUGCCACAUCAGAAUUGUAAUUUGGAGAGUUCAUGUCCCCACUCUCCCCUACAGGUCUCCAUCCCUAGGAGACAUCUCUACAAUGGACUGCAGUUUCCCUUCUGACUGAACAAGAGGCUGAUAUUUUGAGAAUCAUGUAAUUUCUUCAAAUUUCUGGUUUCUGUGACUGCCAGGAGAAAAACCAUAACCUUAGUAAGAAUCAUGCCACAAGUUCCUCUGUCUCCUACCACCAAUUCAAUAUUCCCACAUGCUAAAGAAAAAAGGAAAGAAAAAGAAAAUAGAGGUGAACUAGAUAUGAGUGACAAUGUCAACACCAAUUGUUGCCUUAAUCCUUCUUUAGCUUGGCUUGUAGACUCAGUACAUAACAACAACAAAUGACAAGCUUACAAAUUACAAUAGUUCACCAGAAAGUGUGCUUUUUUUCCCCAUUUUUUGUUUUCGUCAGAGUAACUUAGUGCAAAAGAUCACAAAAAUAAGUACCAAUACAUAGAAAUAUCCAAACUGCUACAGGCAUGGCUCAAAAUAAACAACAAAGAAAAAUGCUAUUUCAGACCCAAAAGAAGAGCGUGUUUAGAAGUUUCAUGUACAAAAGGAGCACAGAGGAGGGGGCCGCCCACACCGAAAGGGGAUGUGGAAAACUUUUCAUUAAAAAAGGAAGCACAGCAAAGUUCAGAACUGAAAGAAGCAGAUCCCGCUUUGAAGCUGUGUGGCUGUGAUAUUACUGAAAACAAAAAACUCCAAAGGGCACAGCGCAACUCUAACUGUAGUUAACCAAGAGAUCUCCCACCAACCUCAAAAGAAGUGGGAUAAGGCCCAUGGUUUGGCAGGAAAGUAACUGUAUUGCUUUGCUUGCUUGAUAAGAAGGUAUUGAAAAACUGCGUGAAAGCUUUGAAAAAGCACUUGUUUUAGAGAGCCUCGCGAGGUCUCAGCUUUUGCUCAAGUCUUUUACAAAGUGUUGUUUUCUGACAAAAAAACAAAAAAGACCUCUUGUGUCUGUGAAAAGCUGGCAGUACAGAACAAUACUUGAAACUGUUCUUCAGUGUAAGCUUUGUGUAGGUGAAGACAACACACAACAAUGGCAUGAGAUGGUGGAGUACAAAGUGGUCAAAUCCUGCCUCCUGUUAUUCUCUCUUAAUCCAGGGUGAAGGACUCACUUCAGCUCAUUUACCAUUGGUUUACACUGAUCAAAGGGAAGGCUGAUUUUGUUCUGAAGAUGAGAUUUUUCAAGGAUUCAUCUCAUUUAGAAGUUAAGGCUUCUGGAAAGGUGUUUACUGUAAAUGCUGACAGAUAUCAGACAUAUCUGCUUGGAGCUAGCAGAUAUGAGACACGACAGGCAGGAGACUUGCACCCUUACUGGACCUGCAGAGAUUCAUCUCAAAUGGCACCAGACACCUAGAGGUGGAAAGGUGUCUUAUGGGUCUGAUUUAGUUUUAAAUUAUGAAAUCUACAUAUAUCUGUCCACUAUUAGUCAAUGAAAGGCUCCUGGAGAAUGAGUCAUCUCACUCUAAAAUAAAUGAAUAUCUCUCCUCUCUAAGAUCCACAAAUUACCUCCCAGACGUCCACUGACUCAAAUGGGUGAUUGGUAACCUAAUUUUCAUAUAUCCACCUAAAAGUAGACACAAAUUUCCUAAGCAGAGAUGCCUAUAGUAAUGCUAGAUGCAGAAACAUUUCCUGUCCCGAUCCCAGACAGCACUUCAUAAAGGAAGAGGUCUCCUGUAAGCCCUGUGCAGAUGUGCCUGCUGGAGCUACAUGAGUAGUGUAAGAUGCUUCCAUUUAGGCAGACCGUGCUCUAAAUAAUCCAUCUAUCACUAGGUGUCUAUCCUGUCUCUAUGAUCAAUGGAGAGAAGGAUGCCUCUCUAUGAUUAAUUCUGGCUAGAUCAGGUUAAAGUAAAACAGAGACAAAGCAUCUCAUGUUUGAAUUUUGGCCAGUAGUAAAUAAAAUGACAGGGGAAUCUCAAGAUUGAAAACAAUCUUAUAAAGUAAGGCUCUACAUGGCUUGUUUUCACAGUUACUUUUGCCCAGAUGAGAAUCCUGGUAUAGCCAACAUGAAUUAAGAACCUGCCUUUUGUUUGGCUUUGUAUUCAUUGUGGACAUACUGUAAGUGCUGUACCACAGCAAGAACAAGAAAAGAAAGAAAAAAGUGUACGUGUUAAAAAUUUACUCAAAACACUCACACUACCUUCACUCCAGUAAGUAAAUAAGGACAGCUGAAAUACUGUAAAUUACAUAGGUGACUUAGGAUCAAUGUCUUAUUUUCAAGAGAGACGUGGGACUCGAUUCCCAAAGGUAUUUAGGCACCUUGUAGGAUCCUAACACAUUUCACAGUGAUGCAGAAGCCAAACUCCAAUUGUAACUAAUUUGAAACAAGUGCUCAUCUUGUUUAGCCACUUCAACAUUGAUUCAUAUCCUCAGGAGAUUAAAUUCCUUUGAAAGCCCAGACACUAGUCAUGUGGCAGCCUCUCCUUGAAGGUCAGUAGGAUAUAGGUUUCUGAUGGGCAGCCUUCAUUUGUUUUCUAUAGAAGCCAGACAUCAAGAUACUCAGUCCUUCCAGGCACACAACUCAAACUUUGCAUGACUAAAUAUAAGUGUGCCCUUUAAUGGCUAAACCUUUUUUGGAUAAUGGGAAUUUGCAGUGUCUAAAUCCAUAUCUAAGUGUCUAAAAAAAUGGAUAACCUACAAAUCCCUGCCUAGCAAUAAUAACAUUCAGAGAAUUCAUAUCACAUCACCAGGAGAAGGAAAGACUUGGUAUCUUUCUACCAGCCUCCUUUUUUUAAUGAAACUUUUCUUGGGAGAAGGAAACGAAAAAGCCUCCAAACAAGUCUUUGAUAUACUCAGGUUUUCCAUUUAAAAAAACCUGAGAUGUAUGUAUAUAUUAAAAUUAUUAUUCCCCAUGUUUACUGAAAAAUGUUUUCUAAAAUGAGAGCUAAAAGAAAAAGAAAGCAGAGAACACUCCCCCCCCAUUUAAAGAUCAAUUUUAAUAAAAAUAUUAUAAGUGGUUUGCAAUAGAUGGAAAAAUAUGUCUAGUUUAAAUUGUGGAAAAUAAAAGUAAUAUUAACAUUGGAAGAUUUUGCAAAACUGCAUCUCUUCUCUCUUUAAAAAAAAAUCUAUUUUUAAUUACCUUCAACAGGUACCAAAGUAAACCAGAUAAUGCCUUCACUAAGGCAUUUUUGUAACCAAAAAAAGAAAAAAGAAAAAAAAAAUGGAGCUAGUAUUAGGGUUUGCUUUAUAUAGUUAAUCCAUUGUAUUCUGCUUCCUAGGCAGCUUAUUUGCUGCUUUUUGCUGCUUUUUAAUUAGAAGAAUAUAACAUCUUGAUUUAGAAGAUAGGAUUUUAAAUGGCACAUCCAUAUAAAUGUGUCCAUUUGACCAACUACGUAGGUUAUAUUUAGUCACAUCUCAUUAUAUCCAUAGGUAGAGAUGCAUGUGCUUCUGUAUACUAAUGCAUGCAUUUAUGUAUGUGUAGUUUUUUUCUUUUUACAGAUGUGCACCAAGAUAGCUGGAUUUUCAAGAAGUUUUACCAGUCUGGACUAUGUUUAGUGAAGACAAAGAAAAAUACAUAAAUAAAACAACUUACACUGUUUUGGCAGGUUUGCAUGUGAAUGAGCAGUUAUAUCUUGUCAUGAGGAUUUUGAGAGAAAAUGUUGAUGGAUGCAGGAUGCAGAGUCCCAGGAAUACCCUGAGCUGUUCUUUCUUCCUGAUGUGGACCAUCAGCAACUUGAGCUGACUUUCAAAUCACCUUAACCAGUGGCUGUUUUCAUUAGAGCCUCAAACAUUCUAAAACGUUUUGGAUACGUUGGUCCUAAGUCCAUCUAGAAGUCUAGAUCAGAUCAAAGACCUAAAGUUAGUUACCUAGGAAACAACAUCACCUCUACGUGAAUGAGUGUGCUCAACUAUGUCUCAACGUGAUGUUUCGACAAAGAUGUACCUGAAAUGUCUGCAGCAAUGCUCUGAUACCUACAUUCGGUGAUGGCAACCUGAUCCUCCCACAGAAAGCUCAGCAUCUUGCACACUCAGGUCCUAGAAUGGCAGAAAGCAAUUUAGUCCCUGGACACAUGAGAGGACUCUGCUUCAUUGCUCAAUCUCCCUUUUCCAGCAUCUCCAUCACUGGGGCUGCUUUAGGCUUUAUAGUUGCACUUCAUAGUACUUUGUUCUGAGAAACUAAUAUGCAGCAAAGUAGAAGGAUGAUUUGUAUCUGACGGUUUGGCCAGAGAAUAAUACACGACAACAUUGGGGGAAGAAAAACACAGCUGUAUAAAAUGUGGGUUUUCACCUCCUUCCUAUUCCAUUUUUCAUCAGGCCUAUUAAGUACAUUAGGGCUUCAAGGCUGCCUCAUACAGAAGCUGUUUCGAGUAAAAUGACUCAAACACGGGCACAGGAAGGAGCCCAUGUACUUACUUAUUCCUCCCCUCCCCACCAAGCAAAACAAGGCAGCUUUAUCUGGGGCAAGGGAAGAGGGAGAGAGGAGAAUUGCUGUGCCAGGAUCUCACUGCAAAAGACAAAGCAACGUAAAAGGAAUGCAGCUAAUGAGCCCAUCGUUACACAUCUCAUCAUGCAGAAACACUCAAAUAAUCAUGUAUCAUGUAGGAAUGUGGCAGAAGGGCCAUGGCUUGGUUAGGCUGAUGGAUAUUGGGCUGGCCUCACUGGUAUAUAUUCCUCCUCAUACUAAGAGUGAUAUAAUUUCCAGAUUGCUUUAUAUGCUUUACCAGGCUCUAUUUCUCUCAUGUCUGCUAACGGAAGUGUUAAAGAAUCACCAUUUCCAAACUGUCAUUUGUUUAUUUUUCCUUGUCUAUCCCUCCUUCCCAUCAAAAAAUAACCAGUUACACACCUUUGUGAUUAAUGCAUGUCCUGGAAAACCAGUACCUGCUGCACGUGUAUUCUCAUCUAUAGCUGGCUGUUGAUUAUUACCUCAUACUGUGAUUCUUUGAUUUUAAUCUAAGUAAAAAGAAUCAGCAUGUGCAGA